UACGUAGGGUGCGAGCGUUAAUCGGAAUUACUGGGCGUAAAGUGUGCGCAGGUGGCCGCGCAAGUCGAGUGUGAAAGCCCCGGGCUUAACUUGGGAAUUGCGCUCGAAACUACGUGGCUAGUGUGUGGCAGAGGGAGGUGGAAUUCCACGUGUAGCGGUGAAAUGCGUAGAGAUGUGGAGGAACACCAAUGGCGAAGGCAGCCUCCUGGGCCAACACUGACACUCAAGCACGAAAGCGUGGGGAGCAAACAGG
rnacentral:rRNA from 1 species